rnacentral:rRNA from 2 species
CAACCCUUAUCCUUUGUUGCCAGCGGUCCGGCCGGGAACUCAAAGGAGACUGCCAGUGAUAAACUGGAGGAAGGUGGGGAUGACGUCAAGUCAUCAUGGCCCUUACGACCAGGGCUACACACGUGCUACAAUGGCGCAUACAAAGAGAAGCGACCUCGCGAGAGCAAGCGGACCUCAUAAAGUGCGUCGUAGUCCGGAUUGGAGUCUGCAACUCGACUCCAUGAAGUCGGAAUCGCUAGUAAUCGUGGAUCAGAAUGCCACGGUGAAUACGUUCCCGGGCCUUGUACACACCGCCCGUCACACCAUGGGAGUGGGUUGCAAAAGAAGUAGGUAGCUUAACCUUCGGGAGGGCGCUUACCACUUUGUGAUUCAUGACUGGGGUGAAGUCGUAACAAGGUAACCGUAGGGGAACCUGC